UGUGAAUUAAAUCUCAAUAAAGCUUUUUUAAAUUUUUUUUUUUUUAGAAAAAGAUUACUAAAGCAUGAUUCCUAAAUAUCUCACUUAGGGAAUUGAAUGGAUGAUGGUGCCACUUACUAUAUGGGGAGCAGAGAAAGAUGAAUAGGUCUGGAAGGACAGCUACUGAAUUCAGCUUCAGACAGGCUGUAAAUUGUAACUGAAGCUAUGGAAGGGAUAAAGUUACAAAGAUGGAGACAAGCCCAUAAAGUAGAGUCAAGGCCAUAUUCACUUUCCUGCAUAUAAUCCUGAAAUUCUAAAUGAAAAUAAAUUGAGUUUCCAAGUUUUUUUAAUACUAGCUGAAAUGUCCCUUUGCUUUCUACUUUAUUGUUAAAAGAUAUGUGAUUAGUUUAUCACAACCAAUACUCAAUGGAAUGUUAAUUUGAAUUUAAUAUAAUGGUCAUCACCAGAUACUAAGAGAGUAACAAAGUCUAACUAUUUUCAAACUUUUAUCUGGAAAUUAGUGUUAACGAGUCACCUUUGGACACCAGUGACAGAAAAAAAAAAAAUCUCCUCUAUGACUGUCUUCCCUCUGAGGGCUUAUGGAAGGUUGACCUAUUUAUAGGUCAACCUUCCAUAAGGAUGUGAUUGAAUAAGGUGUCCAUUAAUUAAGAUGAGUGAGUUUAAAAUUAAGUUAAAACUUCAACCUCACCGUAAGUCUGGCAAACAAUGGAGGAUAACUUGUUUUGUGGAGAUGAAGGUUUUGUUGUUUUUGUUGGUUAAGGCUUCACAUUGAUUUCUCACAAGGAGGCUGCAAGCAGAUUCUCCAGCAAAUUGGCAUCCUGUGGAGAGCCAGGUACUCUGAAAAUUUCUAAUUAGGAGAAGUUAAAGGUUAUAUAAGCCCAGCUACCAAACUGACUGCCUAACCUUAACAGCCAAACGGAUUUACCUUUCUUUCCUUUCUUCUUCUUAUCAGAGACCUGGUCUGGAAAUAAAUCUCAAAAUACAAACAGAAAGUUCUGUGAUAAAUCAGGUCUGAGAAGUAGAAGGGAGCUUGUUAGGGUUUAACCAAUGCUGUGACUCAUGCAAGACUUUAUAUCUAAACACUCAUAUUCACGGGUAGUCCUGAUUUUGGCUUUGGUGUGAACUAAUCCAGAGAGAGGACAAAAACAUGCAGCAGGCUGUAUUGUGCCAACAGAACUUCUGUCGCUUAAGCAUAUUCACAUUUCUGAAAGCAGGAUAAUUUCAGUCUGGAGUCACAGAUCUUACUGCCUAUAAAAAAACCCAAUUAGGACCACCACUAUGGAUACUGCCCAAUUUUAGAAAUAAUUAUCCUUGGGGGGGAAAAAAGCCUCUAAUCAUCUGUUUAGUAAAAGUUAGUUCAGCAGUUGUGAUUCAGAAGACAUUCCUAACCCAAUUUUCACCUGUCUUUACCAGCCUGGAGAUCAUACUAUAGUUAUUCAUAAAUUACAAUGGAUCCAAAUUCUAUCCUUUUUAAACAGGAGCUAUUUUGCUCCAAAAUGAUUCUGGUUAUUUCUAGGAGCCUCCAAACAGGUGUUUUUUCCCAUAUUAAAAAUAGAGCUUUCACCACUAUAUGGUACCAUUAAUUAAUUAAUUAAUUAAUUAAUUAAUAUAUGUUGAGCGUUUCCUGUGUGAAGGGUUUUGGCAGAGUCUUACAGAUAGCUCAGUCCUGGCCCUCUUGGGGCAUUCAUAGUAUUUUUCUUGGAAAGCUCCGGUUAUCAUUUGUCAGCAUUGAUUGCCAGGAAGCAGCUGGAUGGAAUUUUUAUCACUGUCUCUGCUGAGGACGUCCCCUGUGAAACACUUGACCAAGAAUACGGGAAGAAUGGGAAGAAUGCUACCGCUCAGCGUUCCGAAGUCUCCAAUCUUGAGUGCUGGAGUGAGGCUGGAUUCCGUGAAGAGGUGGAGAAAAUGGCCUUCCUCAAUCCUGUGCUCCUUUCUGACAUCUGUUUCCAAAUCAGGGCUGUUUCUUCAUGAAAAAAAUUUUCUGUAGCUUCUGGGGCUCAAAAUCUGUCCGGAUAGAGGCUCAGUGUCAUGUUUUCAUCUUUAUCAUCCCUCUUGCCAAACCCAGUUACUGAACUAUGGCACGUCAAUGAUCGCGACCAAAUUAUUUUCCAGGUGUUUGUAGUUGUGAGCAUAUUAGGAGUGUCUGGGCCCCAGCUGAAAUGGCCUGUUGGAUUAUGUAGCAUAAUUCAAAUUCUUGCCCAGCAACCUAGCAUAUAAAAUGUAACCCCUUAAAGAUUUUGCCCAGAGCUAUAGCGCAUCUAGAGCGAGGUGUGUUACUGGGUCUAGAGUGGCAACAAAUUCUUGGAGGAAUUGACAAGAGUUUGGUAUGGUUACCUCUAGAAGAUCCAAAGCAAAGUGGGAAGCGUGGUCAGGAAAAGGAGUCUGGCCUGAAAUACUGAGAAAUCAAGCUGUCAGGGAGAAUGCAUGACAACCUAGAAGGACCAAAAAAAAGACAAAGAAAACCAACCAACGAACUAACCAAUUAAAAACAGACAGAACCAAUCAAAAUUGUUACUGAGCAGUCAGCCCGGUAAACACUAAGGAAAAAAUGAAGUAAAAUUCAAUCAGUACCAUGUCUGACCUAUUUCAUGGGUAUCCACUCUCACCUUGCAUGUUUAAAGAAUGGUCUUAUUUGGGGUGCCUGGUUGGCUCAAUGGGUUAAGCUUCUGCCUUCAGCUCAGGUCAUGAUCUCAAGGCUCUGGGAUGGAGCCCCACAUUGGGCUCUCUCCUCAGCAGGGAGCCUGCUUCCCCCUCUCUCUCUGCCUGCCUCUCUCCCUACUUGUGAUCUCUGCCUGUUAAAAAAAUAAAAGUCUUAUUCAGGACACCUGGGUGGCUCAGUCAGUUAAGCGUCUGCCUUCAGCUCAGUUCAUGAUCCCAGGGUCCUGGGAUCGAGCCCCACAUCGGGCUCUCUGCUCUGUGGAGAGCCUGCUUCCUCCUCUCUCUCUGCCUGCCUCUCUGCCUACUUGUGAUCUUCGUCUGUCAAAUAAAUAAAUAAAAUCUUAAAAAAAUGUUUACAUUAGAAGGUAAUAUGUAUUUUUAUAAAUAAUUUUUUAAAACAUGGAAGUAAAUUUGCAAAAUUAAAAAAAAAGUGUCUUCCUGUCCUACUGUAAUUCCCACUCACCAGAGGUAGGCACUGAUGAAUUUGGAGUGUAUCUUUCUUGUCUUUCUCCUUUGCAUAUACGUCUUCUUCCUAGACCAGGGAAUCAUACUACAUAAACUGUUCUACAGUUUGGCUUUUGUCACUAAAUAAUUUAAAUUGGGUAUCUCUGCCUGUCAGUAAAUAAAGGGCUAUAUCCUUUUUUUAAGGAUAAAAAUAUAUCAUCUUCCACUAUAUUGAUGUAACAUUAUUUAUUUAUUCCAUCCCCUUUUGAUGGACAUUUGGAUUAUUUCCAAUUUUUUAUUAUGACCAAUAGUGCUCCAGCAAACAUCUUUAUACACUGAUAUCUAUGUACUUACCCAAGCAUUUUGGGAGAUAAGUUCCUGGAAAUAGAAUUGCUUGGUCAGAUGGUAUUGGCAUUUAGCAUUUUGAUAAAUAUCCCCCAAAUUACCUCUAGAAUGUUUGCAACAAUUUACACUCCCACGAGGAUGACUAAGUGCGCCUGAUUCCCUACCUGCUCUUACUCUGUAUCCAGGCCCUGACUGGGGAACUAGAGAAUGUGUCUCUUGCUUCAGAAAGACAUGGUGCUAAAGACCUUGCCUCAAGCUCUUACCUUCUUUUAUUUUCUCUCUACUUUUCAUAACUGUGGUUUAAUUCUAGGACAGGAAAAAAGAAAUAUGCCUGUUUGGUUUUCAGGAAGUUCCUCAAAGAUCCAGACAUUCUGCAAAUUAUGAGCACGUAAAUUACAGAUAAACCGUUCAUUUAGUCCCAAAAGGUAAGCGCCCUGAGGCAGGAAGAUGCUUCCUUUCAGACCCUAGAGAUGGAAACAUCCCUUCCCUACGUUUCCGUGUGAACUGCUCCUUUGCUCACGCGUGCAUGAGUCUGUGCAUUGUUCCUCCUUGCAGGCCUGCGUUCACCAACAUUUACUCUAAGUUUGCUCAGUUCUGGGUACUGUGCUAACCCCUGUGGCUAUGGGAAUGAAAUGCAGUUUCUGCCUUCAAGAAGACCACAAUCUAGCUUCACGAAAAAACCGAAGAGGAGACCCACAGGUGUGAUCGAGAGCAGAAGUGCUGCUUUCAUUCACAUCAGUGCAGGGUGCCCCAAGAGUGAUGGACUGGGCUAAGUGCCCCCCGGAGGGGAAGGGCUACAGAAAAGACCAGGAAUGUGGUUCUGGGAGGGCCCACGCAACUACCACAUCUAACCCAGUCAGGGAGGAAGUGAGGAAGAAGCUGGGGACUGGGCAUCCCGAAGGGUAAUCUUUGACCAGCAGCUCUGUUAGAGGCAGGAAGAGAAGCUGGAAGAGAUAAGGAGAUUAUGAUGUCAUCUGUCGAAAUUGGCAAGACUCAGUACCUCUGUCCCUGUGGGCCGGCACCUGAGAUGUUUCACUUUGUUGACUUAUAGGAACCCUGUGGAGACGGGGUGGGUAUAGAACGCCAGGAGGGUGAGAGUCAGAGUCCGCUCUAGAAUGAACAGUAACCCAUUCUGUUGUUUUUAUCCUAGUUCAGACCUGUGGAAAAAUACAUUUAUGGAUAACUCACAAGAAUCAAAUUUGGAAACAGCCUAAAUGUCCACUCACAGGAGAUAAAUUAAAUAAUACAUGGUGUGUCAGCUGUGACAUCACAAAGCAAACUCCCAGAUGGCACCGACUGAAUCCUUUAUCAGCUUCGUUAGCACUGAUGCCAGAAUGAAACUGGCCCAGCAACCUCAUCAAAAUUUCCACGCUAACGGGUAGACCCUUGGGAAUGAAGCUAUUCCAGGUGCAGAACGGGGUCCAUUUGACCUAGAAGCUUUGGCAGAGGGAGCAGACACAGUAUUCACUAUGUUGAUUCGAUCAUCAAGCAACUAUCAAGUGGCUUUAAUUUUCACAUCACCCAUUUCUACCUUCUGUUUUGUACCUUGUUUCCCUUUGUUGUCACCCUUCCACUCACUUGGUAUGACCUUGACUGAGAAGCUCAUUUAAUACUUUACUACUGAUAAGCAACUGAUGGUUCUGACCUUUUUAAAAAGCUAGCAUUCUGAUUUAAGGAUGAACUAACAAAAACAUAAAUAAAAGGUAGCCACAUAUUAAA